UUUCAUCAGAAUGCUUAACAUUUUCUCUCUCUAAACAAAAAAACAAGCGAUACUGCGAUACAGAGAAAGGGAAGGAAAAAAAAAAAACCUUGCAAUCCAGUGAAGAAUCGUGCGAUCAAACGUUCGUCCUAGAGGUAUUGAGAGAGAGGCGAUGAAAUCGUGAGAGAGGCUAUGAAGACACGGAGAAAGAAACAGAAAAAGAGAGAAGCGAUGAAGACACGGUGAAACAAAAAGAAAAAGAGAGAGGCGAUCCUGGUACACGGAGAAAGAAGAGAUCGCCUCUCUGUUUCUGACAGAUUGCCUCUCUGCCCACAACAACGCCUCUGAUGGGUUCUAUUCUUUCUCUGAUUCUUUUAUAGAGAUAGAAAUAGGGAGAGAGAGGCGAUGAGGCCUGAGACACGGAGAAAGAAACAGAGAAAGAGGCAGAGUUCAUUUUCCCCACCACCGUCUGCUCCCUUUCCAGAUUUAGACCACCAGAUCGCCAGAACCGACAUUGACAACGUGGCUGAAAAGCACUUAGCAUCAAAAAAGGAUUAAAGGUAACAUCCUAACAAACCUGCAAGAUAGCCUGAAGGGGAUAUUUUGUGUAGUUGAGAGGGAAUUAGUAGCUGGAAUGUGGAUGGAUUUGGGGACUACUACCUCCGUCUUGGCUCAUCAGAUAUAUAUUGAGUACCUACUUUACAAUGAGCAUAAAGCAUGAUAUUAAAUCUAUAUCAAUGAAAAUGGUGUCCUCACACACUAUAUAUAAAAGAAACUGAGGAAACAUUAAAUUUUUAUAGUUAUAUUUUUCCCAUUUCUUUCAUUCCUGUUGUAAUAGAGAAAUAGAGCUAAGUUAAACAUGCAAAGGGUUAAACUUUAUUUGAA